CUUUCUUCCUUUUUUUAGUUUGUGGUCAUUGUGGUUUUAAGUGCAAUAAAAUCNNNNNNNNNNNNUUUGCUAUUGUUUCUAAACAACCUGAAGUAGGAAGGAGAACAAGUAUGUUCGUUUGCUGCUGAAAGGGGAAGUUGACCAGGUUGGUAUUUAGUUGGCCAAUGCAGAAGUUACAGAGUCGUUUACAAUUUUAAUUUCCAGAUUUCAAUAUUUAAUGUCAGUAAUAACUAAAAUCUUUUGGAGAUCUCUAAGUAAUUAGUUACUAUUGUGCAUAGAACAAAUUUUGUAUUUGGAUCUUUUUCACUGGAGAUUAAGAUUUGUGUGUGAUAUGGAAAGGAAAAUAAACUGUUGACUGUAAAAGCUUUCUUAUGGUGAAGGAAUUUUAUGGUAAUACAGUGCAUGGUCAGUGUGAUCUAGAAGAAUGACUGAAGCAUAUGGAACUGAUAUAAUAUUGUAUGUUAAAUAUACAUCAGUUAAAAACAAAACUAGACUAACCCAGAGUCCUGGGUUCUGCUACUGCUAUUAACUAGCUUUAAGACUACGGGCAAGUCUUACAACUUCUCUUGACCUUAAUUUCCAGAUCUGGAAAAUGUGGAUAAUAAUCCUUACUUUGCCUCCUGGUGUGGAUGCUUUCAUGAUAAAUAGUAGCUUCUGUGUUGGUAAAAUAUUUGCAUCAGAAUGGAGUGAAGAGAGCAUUUGGUAAUAGAAUUUGUUUGCUUUCUUACUAAGUGUGAGUUCCUAGACAGAAGGCAGAGA
rnacentral:lncRNA from 1 species